GCCAGGCAUGGUGGCGCGUGCCUGUAAUCCCAGCUGCUCAGGAGGCUGAGGCAGAAGAAUCGCUUGAUCCUGGGAGGUGGAGGUUGCAGUGAGCAGAGAUCGUGCCACUACACUCCAGCCUGGGCGACAGAGUGAGAUUCUGUCUCAA
rnacentral:sRNA from 1 species